AAUAGAUACCCGGGUAGUCCACGCCGUAAACGAUGAGUGCUAGGUGUUGGGGGGACCACCCUCAGUGCCGCAGGUAACCCAAUAAGCACUCCGCCUGGGGAGUACGGUCGCAAGACUGAAACUCAAAGGAAUUGACGGGGGCCCGCACAAGCGGUGGAGCAUGUGGUUUAAUUCGAAGCAACGCGAAGAACCUUACCAGGGCUUGACAUCCCGCUGACCGGUGUAGAGAUAUGCCUUUCCCCUUUGGGGACAGCGGUGACAGGUGGUGCAUGGUUGUCGUCAGCUCGUGUCGUGAGAUGUUGGGUUCAGUCCCGCAACGAGCGCAACCCCUAUUUCUAGUUGCCAGCAUUUCGGAUGGGCACUCUAGAGAGACAGCCGGUGAAAGCCGGAGGAAGGUGGGGAUGACGUCAAAUCAUCGAUGCCCCUUAUGUCCUGGGCCACACACGUGCUACAAUGGCUGGCACAAAGGGUAGCCAACCCGGCAAGGGGGAGCCAAUCCCAGAAAGCCAGUCUCAGUUCGGAUUGCAGGCUGA
rnacentral:rRNA from 1 species